GAUGGGCUCGCGGCCUAUUAGUUAGUUGGUGAGGUAACGGCUCACCAAGGCGAUGACGGGUAGCCGGUCUGAGAGGAUGUCCGGCCACACUGGAACUGAGACACGGCCCAGACUCCUACGGGAGGCAGCAGUGGGGAAUAUUGGGCAAUGGGCGCAAGCCUGACCCAGCAACGCCGCGUGAAGGAUGAAGGCUUUCGGGUUGUAAACUUCUUUUGUCGGGGACGAGUAGAAGACGGUACCUGGCGAAUAAGCCACGGCUAACUACGUGCCAGCAGCCGCGGUAAUACGUAGGUGGCAAGCGUUGUCCGGAUUUACUGGGUGUAAAGGGCGUGUAGCCGGGAAGGCAAGUCAGAUGUGAAAUCCACGGGCUUAACUCGUGAACUGCAUUUGAAACUACUUUUCUUGAGUAUCGGAGAGGCAAUCGGAAUUCCUAGUGUAGCGGUGAAAUGCGUAGAUAUUAGGAGGAACACCAGUGGCGAAGGCGGAUUGCUGGACGACAACUGACGGUGAGGCGCGAAAGCGUGGGGAGCAAACCAGGAUUAGAUACCCUGGUAGUCCACGCUGUAAACGAUGAAUACUAGGUGGUGCGGGGGACGGACCCCCUGGCUGCCGCAGUUAACACAAUAAGUAUUCCCACCUGGGGGAGUACGAUCGCAAGGUUGAAACUCAAAGGAAUUGACGGGGGCCUGCACAAGCGGUGGAUUAUGUGGUUUAAUUCGGCGCAACGCGAAGAAACCUUACCAGGGCUUGACAUCCUACUAACGAAGUAGAGAUACAUCAGGUGCCCUUCGGGGAAAGUUGAGACAGGUGGUGCAUGGUUGUCGUCAGCUCGUGUCGUGAGAUGUUGGGUUAAGUCCCGCAACGAGCGCAACCCCUAUUGUUAGUUGCUACGCAAGAGCACUCUAGCGAGACUGCCGUUGACAAAACGGAGGAAGGUGGGGACGACGUCAAAUCAUCAUGCCCCUUAUGUCCUGGGCUACACACGUAAUACAAUGGCGGUCAACAGAGGGAUGCAAAACCGUAAGGUGGAGCGAACCCCUAAAAGCCGUCUCAGUUCAGAAAGUGGGCUGCAACCCGCCCACAUGAAGUCGGAAUCGCUAGUAAUCGCGGAUCAGCAUGCCGCGGUGAAUAAAAUCCCGGGCCUUGCACACACCGCCCGUCA
rnacentral:rRNA from 1 species